rnacentral:rRNA from 1 species
AUGGAUCAAGCGAUCAAGGGCACAGGGUGGAUGUCUAGGCACGGACUGGCGAUGAAGGACGUGGCAAGCUGCGAUAAGCCAGGGGUAGCUGCAAGCAAGCGUUGAUCCCUGGAUUUCCGAAUGGGGAAACCCGGCCGGGGUGAUGCCCGGUCAUCCCUUCGCUGAAUACAUAGGCGUUGGGAAGCGAACCGAGGGAACUGAAACAUCUAAGUACCUCGAGGAAGAGAAAACAACCGUGAUUCCCUCAGUAGCGGCGAGCGAACGGGGAAGAGCCCAAACCAUGGAGGUGUCAAGGCGGCAGCCGUUGCUUCCAUGGGGUAGGAGGGUGGUUCGUGGGAGUCUGCCGGCUCUCGGAGCGUCGCGCGGCGGUGAGUCGAAUCCGUCUGGAAAGCCAAGCCAUAGAGGGUGACAGCCCCGUAGGCGAAGCCGACGUCGCGAUCUCUGGACCAUUCCUGAGUAGGUCGGGACACGUGAAAUCCCGAUUGAAUCCGGCAGGACCACCUGCCAAGGCUAAAUACACGUCCGUGACCGAUAGCGAACGAGUACCGUGAGGGAAAGAUGAAAAGUACGCCGGGAGGCGGGUGAAACAGAUCCUGAAACCGUGUGCCUACAAGCGGUGGGAGCUCGACCCUCUCUUCGUGAGAGACGUCGGGUGACCGCGUGCCUUUUGCAUUAUGAUCCGGCGAGUUGUUCCUCAGUAGCGAGGUUAAGCCGUUCAGCGGCGGAGCCGAAGCGAAAGCGAGUCUUAACUGGGCGUAAAGUUGCUGGGGACAGACCCGAAACCAGAGUGAUCUAUCCAUGGCCAGGUUGAAGCGAGGGUAAUGCUUCGUGGAGGACCGAACCGUUGUGGGUUGAAAACUGCUCGGAUGAGCUGUGGAUAGGGGUGAAAGGCCAAUCAAACCUGGAGAUAGCUGGUUCUCCCCGAAAGAUAUUUAGGUAUCGCCUCUGAGUGUAGACUGCGGGAGGUAGAGCACUGGAAGGGCUAGGGCCCUAAACCGGGUACCAACCCCUACUAAACUCCGAAUGCCCGUUAGUUGGUCUCAGGGAGGAAGUGCACGUGCGAUAAUGUUCGUGCGCGAGAGGGAAAGAGCCCAGACCUUCAGCUAAGGUCCCCAAGUGCUAGCUAAGUGACAAAGGUGGUGGAUUUGCGGAGACAACUGGGAGGUUGGCUUAGAAGCAGCCAUCCUUGAAAGAGUGCGUAAUAGCUCACCAGUCAAGCGGAUCUGCGCCGAUAAUGGUCGGGACUAAAGUUAGCCACCGAAGCUAAGGCUGCGCGCAUCUGCGCGCGGGGUAGGGGAGCGUUGCCUGAGCCGUGAAGCGGGGCCGGAAGGCUACCCGUGGAGCGCAGGCAAGUGAGAAUGCCGGAAUGAGUACGCGAGAAACAAGGUGAGAACCCUUGUCGCCGUAAGCCCAAGGUUUCCUGAGCCAUGCCAAUCAGCUCAGGGUUAGUCGGCCCCUAAGGUGAGGCCGAAAGGCGUAGCCGAUGGAAAACGGGUCAACAUUCCCGUACCACACGAUACUGCGCUUGAGUCUGCGGAGGGACGCAGAGGUGAAAGGUCCGUCGUUUCCAUGGACAUGAACGAUGUAAGGAGGUAGGCGUUUCCGGGUAGGCAAAUCCGCCUGGUGAAGCCGAGAUCCGAUGCCGAAGAAGUCUUCGGACUUCGUUAAGGGACCGUAAUCGUACUGCCAAGAAAAGCUUCGUGGACGAGGAGUACGUGUGACCGUACCGCAAACCGACACAGGUGGGCGAGGCGAGUAGCCUCAGGCGCUCGAGUGAGUCUUGGUUAAGGAACUCGGCAAAAUGUCCCCGUAACUUCGGGAGAAGGGGAGCCGGCGGUAGGUGACCCUGCCUCGCGCAGGAGAGCCGAAACCGGCCGCAGAGAAUCGGCCCAAGCGACUGUUUAGUAAAAACACAGGUGUCUGCAAAGUCGUCAAGACGACGUAUAGGCACUGACGCCUGCCCGGUGCCGGAAGGUUAAAUGGAAGGGUUAGCUUCGGCGAAGCUCUGAAAUGAAGCCCCGGUAAACGGCGGCCGUAACUAUAACGGUCCUAAGGUAGCGAAAUUCCUUGUCGGGUAAGUUCCGACCUGCACGAAUGGCGUAACGACUUGGGCACUGUCUCAACCAAGAGCUCGGCGAAAUUGGAGUCUCGGUGAGGAUACCGAGUACCCGCGGCAGGACAAAAAGACCCCGUGCACCUUUACUACAACCUGAUAUUGGGUUCGGGCACCGUCUGUGUAGGAUAGGUGGGAGGCAUUGAAGCAGGGCCGCCAGGUUCUGUGGAGCCACUGGUGAAAUACCACCCUUGCGAUGUCUGGAUUCUAACCUGGGGCCGUGAAACCGGUCUGGGAACAGUGUCAGGCGGGUAGUUUGACUGGGGCGGUCGCCUCCCAAAAGGUAACGGAGGCGCGCAAAGGUUCCCUCAGCGCGGUCGGCAAUCGCGCGAAGAGUGCAAAGGCAUAAGGGAGCUUGACUGCGAGACCGACGGGUCGAGCAGGAACGAAAGUUGGCCUUAGUGAUCCGGCGGUUCCGAAUGGAAGGGCCGUCGCUCAACGGAUAAAAGGUACGCCGGGGAUAACAGGCUUAUCGCCCCCGAUAGUUCACAUAGACGGGGCGGUUUGGCACCUCGAUGUCGGCUCAUCGCAUCCUGGGGCCGGAGAAGGUCCCAAGGGUCGGGCUGUUCGCCCGUUAAAGCGGUACGCGAGCUGGGUUUAGAACGUCGUGAGACAGUUCGGUCUGUAUCCGCCGUGGGCGUUGGAGAUUUGAGGAGAGCCGCUCCUAGUACGAGAGGACCGGAGUGGAGUGACCGCUGGUGUACCUGUUGUCCCGCCAGGGGCAUCGCAGGGUAGCUAUGUCGCGAAGGGAUAACCGCUGAAAGCAUCUAAGUGGGAAGCCUACUUCAAGAUGAGAUCUCCCGCACCGCAAGGUGCCUGAAGGACCGCAGGAGACGACUGCGUUGAUAGGCGGCAGGUGUAAGGCGUGUGAGCGUCUCAGCCGAGCCGUACUAAUCGUCCGUGAGGCUUGAUCCAUAUCU